rnacentral:rRNA from 1 species
GUAAUACUCCAUAGUUCGUUAUUACUGGAAUGUUUUUCGAACGAAAGAUCCGUCGCUUCAGGAUGAGUCUGCGGCCGAUUAGGUAGUUGUUGGGGUAAUUGCCCAACAAGCCUGUAAUCGGUACGGGUUGUGGGAGCAAGAGCCCGGAGAUGGAUUCUGAGACACGAAUCCAGGCCCUACGGGGCGCAGCAGGCGCGAAAACUUUACCAUGCGGGCAACCGUGAUAAGGAAACCCCGAGUGCCAGCACAGGCUGGCUGUCCGCCAGUUUAAACAACUGGCGAAGAAAGGGCCGGGCAAGACCGGUGCCAGCCGCCGCGGUAAUACCGGCGGCUCGAGUGGUGGCCGCUAUUACUGGGCUUAAAGGGUCCGUAGCUUGAUAAUAGGGUCCCUUGAGAAAUCCGCCGGCUUAACUGGCGGGCGUUCAGGGGAAACUUGUUUUCUAGGGACCGGGAGAGGUGAGGGGUACUGCCGGGGUAGGAGUGAAAUCCUGUAAUCCCGGUGGGACCACCUAUGGCGAAGGCAUCUCACCAGAACGGGUCCGACAGUGAGGGACGAAAGCUGGGGGAGCAAACCGGAUUAGAUACCCGGUAGUCCCAGCUGUAACUAUGUGCGUUAGGUGU